rnacentral:rRNA from 1 species
UACGAAGGGGGCUAGCGUUGCUCGGAAUCACUGGGCGUAAAGGGUGCGUAGGCGGGUCUUAAGUCAGAGGUGAAAUCCUGGAGCUCAACUCCAGAACUGCCUUUGAUACUGAGGAUCUUGAGUUCGGGAGAGGUGAGUGGAACUGCGAGUGUAGAGGUGAAAUUCGUAGAUAUUCGCAGGAACACCAGUGGCGAAGGCGGCUUACUGGUCCAUAACUGACGCUGAGGUGCGAAAGCGUGGGGAGCGAACAGG